GGGGCCCCUGGGUCCAUUUGUGAGGUAAAACUGAGGGGAAAAGGGGAAAAAGGGGAUCCCUGGGUCCAUUUUUGGGGUAGAACUGAGGUAAAAAAGGGGGUCCUGGGAUCCCUGGGUCCAUUUUUGGGGUAGAACUGAGGGAAAAUGUGAGGUUCUGGGAUCCCUGGCUCCAUUUUUGGGGUAGAACUGGAGG